rnacentral:rRNA from 1 species
AUUGAACGCUGGCGGCAUGCUUUACACAUGCAAGUCGAACGGCAGCACGGACUUCGGUCUGGUGGCGAGUGGCGAACGGGUGAGUAAUACAUCGGAACGUGCCCAGUUGUGGGGGAUAACUACUCGAAAGAGUAGCUAAUACCGCAUGAGAACUGAGGUUGAAAGCAGGGGAUCGUAAGACCUUGCGCAACUGGAGCGGCCGAUGGCAGAUUAGGUAGUUGGUGGGAUAAAAGCUUACCAAGCCGACGAUCUGUAGCUGGUCUGAGAGGACGACCAGCCACCCUGGGACUGAGACACGGCCCAGACUCCUACGGGAGGCAGCAGUGGGGAAUUUUGGACAAUGGGCGAAAGCCUGAUCCAGCAAUGCCGCGUGCAGGAUGAAGGCCUUCGGGUUGUAAGCUGCUUUUGUACGGAACGAAAAGCCCCGGGUUAAUACCCUGGGGUCAUGACGGUACCGUAAGAAUAAGCACCGGCUAACUACGUGCCAGCCGCCGCCGUAA